AAUGAACGCUGGCGGCGUGCUUCAGACAUGCAAGUCGAACGUGAAAGUCUUUCGGGAUGAGUAAAGUGGCGCACGGGUGAGUAAUACUUGGGUAAUGUACCCAAUCGCUGGGGAUAACUAGACGAAAGUUUAGCUAAUACCGAAUGGUCCCACUAGGUCUCCGGACUCUGUGGGUAAACCCGUAAGGCGCGAUUGGAGCGGCCGAUGUCCUAUUAGCUAGGUGGCGGGGUAAGAGCCCACCAAGGCGACGAUCGGUAGCUGGUCUGAGAGGCUGAUCCGCCACACUGGGACUGAGACACGGCCCAGACUCCUACGGGAGGCAGCAGUGGGGAAUUUUGGACAAUGGGGGCAACCCUGAUCCAGCCAUGCCGCGUGAGUGAAGAAGGCCUUCGGGUUGUAAAGCUCUUUCGGCCGGAACGAAAUCGCAUCUCUUAACACGGGGUGUGGAUGACGGUACCAGAAGAAGAAGCACCGGCUAACUACGUGCCAGCCGCCGCCGUAACAC
rnacentral:rRNA from 1 species